rnacentral:rRNA from 1 species
GACGAACGCUGGCGGCGUGCUUAACACAUGCGAGUCGAACGAAGAGCGAUGGAAGCUUGCUUCUAUCAAUCUUAGUGGCGAACGGGUGAGUAACGCGUAAUCAACCUGCCCUUCAGAGGGGGACAACAGUUGGAAACGACUGCUAAUACCGCAUACGAUCUAAUCUCGGCAUCGAGGAUAGAUGAAAGGUGGCCUCUACAUGUAAGCUAUCACUGAAGGAGGGGAUUGCGUCUGAUUAGCUAGUUGGAGGGGUAUCGGCCCACCAAGGCGAUGAUCAGUAGCCGGUCUGAGAGGAUGAACGGCCACAUUGGGACUGAGACACGGCCCAGACUCCUACGGGAGGCAGCAGUGGGGAAUCUUCCGCAAUGGACGAAAGUCUGACGGAGCAACGCCGCGUGAGUGAUGACGGCCUUCGGGUUGUAAAGCUCUGUUAAUCGGGACGAAAGGCCUUCUUGCGAAUAGUGAGAAGGAUUGACGGUACCGGAAUAGAAAGCCACGGCUAACUACGUG